rnacentral:rRNA from 1 species
GUGAGGAAUUUUGCUCAAUGGGCGAAAGCCUGAAGCAGCGACGCCGCGUGAACGAUGAAGUCCUUCGGGAUGUAAAGUUCUGUCAGCAGGGACAAUAAUGAUGGUACCUGCAGAGGAAGGCCCGGCAAACUAUGUGCCAGCAGCCGCGGUAAUACAUAGGGGCCAAGCGUUGUCCGGAUUUACUGGGCGUAAAGGGCUCGUAGGUGGUAAUCUAAGUCGGAAUUAAAAGGCAGGGGCUUAACCCCUGUUCGGUUUCGAAACUGGAUUACUAGAGAUUUGGAGAGGAAAGCGGAAUUAACAGUGUAGCGGUGAAAUGCGUAGAUAUUGUUAAGAACACCCGUGGCGAAGGCGGCUUUCUGGCCAAAAUCUGACGCUGAGGAGCGAAAGCGUGGGUAGCAAACAGGAUUAGAAACCCGGGUAGUCC